GAUGAACGCUGGCGGCGUGCCUAAUACAUGCAAGUAGAACGCUGAAGGAGGAGCUUGCUCUUCUGGAUGAGUUGCGAACGGGUGAGUAACGCGUAGGUAACCUGCCUGGUAGCGGGGGAUAACUAUUGGAAACGAUAGCUAAUACCGCAUGACAACAGUUAUUGCAUGAUAACUGUUUAAAAGGGGCAACUGCUCCACUACCAGAUGGACCUGCGUUGUAUUAGCUAGUUGGUGAGGUAACGGCUCACCAAGGCGACGAUACAUAGCCGACCUGAGAGGGGGAUCGGCCACACUGGGACUGAGACACGGCCCAGACUCCUACGGGAGGCAGCAGUAGGGAAUCUUCGGCAAUGGACGGAAGUCUGACCGAGCAACGCCGCGUGAGUGAAGAAGGUUUUCGGAUCGUAAAGCUCUGUUGUAAGGGAAGAACGAGUGUGAGAGUGGAAAGUUCACACUGUGACGGUAUCUUACCAGAAAGGGACGGCUAACUACGUG
rnacentral:rRNA from 1 species